AUUCAAUGGUGUGGACAUUACGUUAGUAAUUCUUUAAAUCUUUCACAAGCAUCAAAUAAGGAUUCUUCAUCCCCUUGCUUAAAAUAUGUGAUUUCAUUCUCAUUUU